CUAUGACGUCUUCAAUUAUUGACCAGACGAAAAGGCAACUUUUAAAAUCAGAAUCCUCUUUAUUUGCCAAGUAUGUCCAAAAAACACACAAGGAAUUUGUCUCCGGUCGUUGGAGCCGCUCGAGUACGACAACCGACGGUCAAUUGACAGAGAACGCUUUGGAGACAGAAAUCUGAUUCUGAUUAAAAGGAUUAAUUAUCACGUCAGGACGAUUACGAACAGUCUUCGCUAAAAUUGCCUGGCGGCCUGCAUGCUAACAGGCUAACAUCGACAGCAAGAAGUACGUUUGGAAGGUUUUGCAUCAUUUCAACUGACCAGAGAGAUUCCGUCGUGUUUGCGUUGUUCUCGUGCUCGCUUGUAGCGUUGAUAAGCAAAAGCAGAACAAACAGCUGGUCUGUUGGGAUUUUCAGGUUCCACGUCAUCAGAGGAAUGGGGAGCGAGCCACGUGACCUCCGCCAGGCUUAGGGUUGGCUGUUGAGGGUCACGUGACACGUCAGAGCGAUGGACUCCGCCCACGCGACCCCACUUCCGGUCUCCGCCACGUCCCGGUGUCCGAAGCCAACUCCUCCGGAACCGAGGGGGCGGGGCCACGCGUCUGGCCGGCGACGUGAUUGGUCGAAGGCGCCGCCAGCGGACUGAGCUCCCAUUGGACAGCCAGCUGUCACUCCCGCGCAAGCCCCGCCCCCGCCUUCAGCAGCACUCGGCUGGUGGAGCCGGACCGAACCAAACCUUUGGCGGAUCGGCCGGAGAUCCAUCGGCGAUCGGGGAUCGAUCGAUUGGUAAAUUGGUUGGUCCACGUGGACCCUUGGGCGGGAUGUCCCGGCUGCUGGAAGGAAGGAACAAAGACAAGAUGAAAGAACUGAACGUAAAGAACAAAGAGAAGGAGCGAGUGAAGGAGCGGGAGAAGGAGGCCCGCUCCAACAAAGGUCACCUGUUCACGUCCCUCACCGUCUCGUCCACCACUUUGUGCUCGUCGUGCAACAGAAGCAUCACCGCCAAGGAGGCCCUCAGCUGCCCCGGCUGCAACGUGACCAUUCACAACCGCUGCCGAGACAGUUUGGCCAGCUGCGCCAAGAUGAAGCAGAAGCAGCAGAAGCUGGCGAUGGCAAGAAACAGUUCGGCCCUUCAGAAAGUUGCUCUGCGGACAAAAACCCCGAUGAUGAAGGAGCGUCCCAGUUCGGCCAUCUACCCGUCGGACAGCCUCCGCCAGUCUCUGCUGGGCUCCCGGCGGGUCCGCUCGGGCCUCUCGCUGGCGAAGAGCGUCUCCACCAAUAACAUCGCCGGGGUGAGCGAGGACUCGGUCGGGCUCAGGAGGAUUCUGUCUCAGUCCACCGAGUCGCUUAACUUUCGGAGCAGGACCUUGUCCAUGGAGUCGCUCACUGACGACGGAGACUGGUGGUGGAGCCCCCUGCUCGAGGAGCUGCAGGAAGAGGGACGCAGCGUCCAAGCUGACAGUUGGAGUCUGGUCGUGGAGGCCAAAUUCCUGCAGACGCUCCACAAGGACCUCAUUAAACAGCAGGACGUCAUCUACGGUACGCAACUUAAUGACAUCCGGUCGUUAACAAAUACAUUCCGGCGGCGUCCUCGUGGUCAUGACGACGGCCACAGACCUCCAUUUGCUUCGUGCGCAGAGUUAAUUCAGACGGAAUUUCACCACGUCCGGACCCUGCGGAUCAUGGAGGGCGUGUACCGGCGCGGCAUGCAGGAGGAGGUGAUGCUGGAGGCGGGAGUGGUUCACACCAUCUUCCCGUGUCUGGACCAGCUGCUGGAGCUCCACACCGCCUUCCUAGCCCAGCUCAUGGCCCGCAGGAAGCAGGGCACCACCGAGGGCGGCCACGCCAAUUUUGUCGUCCCAAAUAUCGGAGAGCUGCUGCUCACGCAGUGUGCGUGCGUGCAGUUCUCAGGUCAGUCUGCCGACGACAUGAAGAAAGUUUACUCGGAAUUUUGCAGUCGUCACCCGAAAGCUGUGAAACUCUACAAAGAUGUUUUAACUCGUGACAGAAGGCUGCAGCACUUCAUCAGGCGCGCCUGCCGCGGUCCUCUGCUGCGUCGUCACGGCGUCCAGGAGUGUAUCCUGCUGGUCACGCAGAGGAUCACCAAAUAUCCCGUUCUCGUCCAGAGGAUCCUCGACAACACCAAAGGCAAUGAGGACGAGGCGCGAGCUCUCAGCCAAGCGCUGGGCCUCCUCAAGGAGCUGAUCGGCUCGGUCGACCGGGAGGUUCUGGAGCUGGACCGGACGAGGAGGCUGCAGGAGGUCCAAGCCCGGCUGGACCCCAGGGCUCAAGCGGAGGUUCGUGGCGGAGGCCUGUUCCGAGGAGGAGAGCUUCUGCGGAGGAAACUCCUCCAUGAAGGGAUGCUCCUUUGGAAGGUCCAAGGCUCCAGGAUGAAAGACAUUCACGUCCUGUUGCUGUCGGACAUCUUGGUUUUCCUUCAGGAGAAAGACCAGAAGUUCACCUUUGCGUCCUUCGACAAGUCUCCGGUGGUCUCUCUGACCAAGCUGAUCGUCAGAGAUAUAGCCAAUCAGGAGCGAGGGAUGUAUCUGAUCAGUGACUCCACUCCCCCGGAGAUGUACGAGCUGCACGCAUCCUCCAAAGACGCCCGACGCACUUGGAUGAACACGAUACACCAGGCCUCGCUCAGUUGUCCGUCCAGAGAAGAUUUCCCUUUGAUCGAAACAGAAGACAAAGCUUUACUGCGACGUCUUAAAGCGGACAUCUUGCAGAAGGAUCGCGAGGUGUUGGAGCUCCUUCAGGAGCGCGUGACAUUGUUUUCGGAGCUGGCGGAGGCGACAGGAAGAAGCGGCGCGGGAGAAGGAGGUCCAGAAGUCGGCGGCGCGCCCCGCAGACGGUCCGACAACAGGAAGUUGUUCCGGGCGGACGCCGCUCACGCUCACGCGCCGCCCGCCGAGCCGCUGCUCGCCGGCGCCAUCUGCGAAGUGGACAAACUGAGCCAUCUGCUGGCGGGAUGCAACAUCAUGAAAGCGUCCGUCGCCAACUGCAACCAGGAACUGAGCAACGGCGAACCCGCGACAAUCAACGCUUCUGUAGAACUCAACUCCUCAAAGGGUCCUUCUUUGCCACUCAAGGACACAAAUGGGAACCAGCUGCAGGAGGCGACGUUGAAGGAGGCGAGUGUCGCGUUGAAGGAGGAGGUGCGCGCACGUCUGGUCAGCGUGAGCACGCAGCUUCACGCUCUUCAGGCUGCCGUCAUUCGUCAGGACUCGGCGGUGGAGCUGUUCGUCAGGACCGGCCCCGCCCCAGGGGCCACCUCCUGGCCCCGCCUCAGCCGCUCGGUGUCGCGGGACACGGGUUUGGACGGCGGCGAGGCGGUGCUCCUGAGGCGGCAGGUGGAGCUUCUGCAGGAGGAAGUGAAGCGGCUGCGCGGUAGAGAGGAGGAGCUUGGCAAACAGGAGGCAGAGCCGGUUGGCAGGAGGAGGAGCAACGGAGACUUGAGUGACGUCAUCAAGGGAGAACCGUUUGCAUUGUUGGAUAGCGCCUACCUGAGGGAAGGAGCUGGAAGAGGUGGUGACCAGGAUGUUGAGGCUCCAAGAGGACUUUGGACGCUCUUGUCUUCGUUCUGGCAGCGUGCAAGUCCUCGAGGCACCAAACCAGACCGUGAUGGACGAACACAUAACCGAUUGAAGGACUGCCUGGACAGCUCCCGUGGCAGGCCGUGCUUCCUCAGAAGCCGCAGGAAGUACAUCCUGUGGUGGGCCUUUUUGAGGAUGGAGUUGAUGUUGGUCUCCCACUUGAGGUCCUGUGAGACUGUAAUUCCCAGCAGCUUGAAGGAAUUGAAUUGAACAAGAUAUACCGGAGCUAAGCGGCACGGUGGUCGACUGGUUAGAGCGUCCGCCUCACAGUUCUGAGAACCGGGGUUCAAUCCCCGGCCCCGCCUGUGUGGAGUUUGCAUGUUCUCCCCGUGCCUGCGUGGGUUUUCCUCCCACAUCCCAAAAACAUGCACGGUGAGGAGAAGGCGGGGCAGUAGAGAGCUUGAACUCCACUCCCUCGCUCCACUGGCCACUCAUGACCCUCUCGACCAAUUAGACGGUGUUCAGGAAGCCAACGAGGACGAAGAAGACCAACAAGUGGUGAAGAUUUCUC